rnacentral:misc_RNA from 1 species
AACACUGUUAACCUGCGGUACCUGCGGAAGGAUCAUUACAGAGUUCGUGCCCUCGCGGGUAGAUCUCCCACCCUUGUGUAUUUUCUACAUCUUGUUGCUUUGGCAGGCCGUUGGUUCGCCAACCACCGGCUCGCGGGCUGGUGCGUGCCUGCCAGAGGACCUCUCAAACUCGGUUUGUUAGUGUCGUCUGAGUACCAUAACAAUCGUUAAAACUUUCAACAAUGGAUCUCAGAUCGGAAG